rnacentral:sRNA from 1 species
UAACAAUUGUAGUAUCGCAAACAAGUUC